AUCACUGGAAUCAAAAUAAUUGUUUUAAGUCCCUCCAAUUUAUUGUCAGAAAGCACUUCACAUGGUCACACCAUUAACAAAAGAAGAAGUUGCUUGGACACAUGAAAAUAUUUUGAUAUUUCAGGUUCUCACAGCAACGAGCAUGAAAAUGUUUGUCUUCUGGGAUGUUGCACCAAGUAGUCUGGCAGAUACUGACUGACAUUUCUGAGGAGCUUACUGUCACCAUCAUAACCCUGAUGACAGAAACAGUGAUCAAGUCUGAAGGACUAAGGAAAACUAUCCCCGAUAACUGAUUCUGUGUCAGACAGUCAAACCAGGGACCUCCUAAAUCAAAUAGAUGUCAGCUGGAUCAAUUAUUAUAUUAGCUACUACCAUAAGCUGCACCUCAAUGGCAGGGACAUGCAGGUACUCUGAAUGGGGCAGCCUCACAGACACCUGCAAAUGACACACAUCAAUAUUCAUUUGUGCUUAUCACCAGAGAAAGAGAGACAAGAAAGACAAAAAUGAAAACCAGAAAAGUAACAAAAUUUGAUAUCGCCCUCGGUGGACUAGCAGUUAGUGUGCUCACCACAGGACCCAAGGUUAGCGGGAUCAAACCUGGCUGAGGUCGAUGGAUUUUUAAGUGUGAUAAAAAUCCUUAGCACAAGUUCAUUCAAAGGGGAAGUAAAGCCGGUGGUCCCAAGACGUAGA